rnacentral:misc_RNA from 1 species
GGCUUGGAAUAAAUCCGAAAUAAAUAUGAUUUGGCUACCUUAACUUGAAUCCUAGAGGAAAUAGGAAAAAUAAAAGACUUUGCUAAAGGAAAUAAGAAAAGAAAUAAACAGCAGCACGAAAUCUUAAAGGAACUAGAAUCUGCAGGCUUCUCUCUUGAACUUCUGUUGGUCAGCCUGCUCUGAGUACUCUUGAGCCACCUGUUCUAAAUCAGCAUGGACUCUCUAAAUGUGCUAUUAUCACUUUGACACUCUGGCUGCAAUGAUUUAGCUUUUACAGCGUCACAGUUAAUUGUUUCAUGCAUAGAGAGUUGUGUGUAAAUCUGAAACAAAUUUAUUUAUUUCUUGGUCACAGUUUUUACAGGCUUGUCAGACAUU